GCGUAGACUCAGAGAAAACUUGCGAAGUUUAGGAUGGAGCUGAAGAGACUGGGUUCCGUCCUACGCCUUUGGACAGGACCAUCAGCUUUUUCCUUGCCUUCGGACUUGAAUUAAACAUCAUCUCUUCCUUGGCGUCAAGCCUGCUGCCAUCAGACUGGAACUAAACCAUCAGCUCUCAUGGGACUCCAUCUUGCUGACUUAUCCUGCAGAUCUUGGGAUUUAACCGCCUCCAUAAUCACGAAUCCUCCCUCCAGGUCACUGGGAGCUUCAAUUCCUUAGAAGAAAGAAAGAGAUGACUCCUGCUUCAUAGUCCAGGAAAAUCCCCACACACCGUGGAGGCUCUUUAAGGCGGAAGGAGGUCUGCGGGGAUGUGAGAGCUUCAUACUCAUUCCCACGACUCUGUCGCAGAAGCCAGUGUCCAUUGGCAGAAGCAACUAUCACCAUACUAUGAAGUAGCACAAGCCCUUCACCAGAUACAGUCGCCCAAUCUUGGACCAUCCAGCCCCAAGAACCAUGAGCUAAAUAAACCUUUUUCCUUGAUAAAUUACCCAGUCUCGGGUAUUCUGUUAUAGCAACAGAAAACAGAGUAAGACACCACAUUUGUCUUUGAUGUUCCAAAAUAAUCAAAUGUGUGAUGAUAAAUACAGGGUUUGUUGUUAGAUCCUGUAGCCACAUAGCAUGUUUGAAUCCCAGCUCUGCCACAUGCUAGUUAUGUGACCUUGGGCUUGUUACUCAUCUCUGAACCUUAGUUUCCUCAUCUGUAAAAUGGAAAUAGUAACAGAACCUGUGUUGUAGAGCUAUUGUGCAGACUUGAUGAACUAAUGAUAUAGUGCCUCAUUCCUACAGUGAGUGCAUGAUAUUCAUUCUGUCACCUAAAAUUAUUACUUAUAAUUAUCUGCUUUAUUUUAUUUUAUUUGAGGAAGGGUCUCACUAUGUUUCCCAGGAUGGAAUGCAGUAGGUAUUCAUGGGCAUGCAGUCAUAACACACUACAGCCUUGAAUUCCUGGCCUCAGGUGAACCUCCCACUGCAGCCUCCCAAGUACGUAGGACGAAAUUAUUAUUUUUAAAUGUUAAUAUAGAGAGAAGGAUUCUUCCCUAAAAUUGUGGAUUAUGAGUGUCACAGUGAGUCUCCUUCCUUCCCCAAAUACAGGAAACAGCUUCUUCUUAGAGAGUUAAGUCUAUAAACCAUACACAGUUGAGAUGGUGGCAAUAAGCCAGACUGUAAAUGUGAGACAGAAGGGUUUGUAAGUUCCCAGAAUGCCAGCCAAGGUGACCUGGAGUUCUCUCGAGUGGCCAACUCAUAAUUUGUUGUACUCUGCCUGAAGGAAGAUGGUGUGAACAGGAGGAGGAUAAAAGCCUAGAAAAUUGAUAAGGAUCCCAAAGCAGUGAAAAAAACAGGUCCCAUUUGAACAGCAGCAAAAAAUGCAAACUAUUUAGGAAUACAUUGAAAGAGAGGUGCAAAUCUUUUCAUAAUGUAUAUUGUUGGGGCAUCUGCUCAACCCAUUCCCUUCUUCUCUGAGAAUCUCAAUCACCACCCCUAAGCAAAUUGGUCUGCAGAGAAAGAAGAAAAAGCAAAUGUGUAGAAAGAGGCGGAAGCAGUGGCUAUUUAUCUGGUUGUGGGAUAGGAAGGACUUCCCAAACCUGAAAGCAUGGAAGAGACUACACAGAAAAAGAUGAAUGAAUUUGACUACGUAAAAAUAAAACACUUAUGCAUCAGAAAAAUACUAUAAGGAAGUACAAAUGAAAAGUAAUGGUGACAAAUAUGACAAAGAGCUAAUAUACUUUAUCUAGAAAGAGUCUUCACAAAUCAAAAAAAAGCCCAAAUAGAACAGGAACAGACAAGUCACACAAAGAAGAAAUACAAAUAACUGAUAAACAUAGGAAAAAUCUCAAAAACCACAGAAAACCCUUAAGAAGACCAAACCUAAUAUUAUCAGUGCUCUAAAAGAGGGGAUACUUUCUAAAUCUAAAUAUGACCUCAAGAUCGAUCACAAAGAUUUUUUUAAUUUGAUAGUCAGAUAUACAGAUUUGAUUUAAAAAUUUUUAAAUUACCUGCAUUCCAGAGGAAUGGAACAAAAUCUAAGGUUACAAAGCCAUAAGGAGGAAGUGCUCUGAGAUAUGGACCUAUUUGAUUGGUAUAACUUACCAAAAUGCAACCGGGCUCUUCUCCAGCCUGAAAAAUGAGAAAAGGGGAUCAUUAAAGUACCAGAGACAUCAAGAACUCCUGUAGGGUGGUGGUCAAAUGUGGAGAAAGUGCAUCUCACCUGAGUUUGCUGCAGCUCUUUUCAACUCUAUGAAAGAAGAAACAAGGGGAAUGAGCUAUCACUGCAAAUAUUAGGGCAACAGGAGAUAAGUUGGUACGGAAGUUACAAGAACAUGGGAAACUUACUCAGUUCACUCCGGAGUUUCUCUAAAGAAUGAAAACAAUUUGGCAAAUCAGAAGGAGGGCCUCUAUGUAGAGGCCCUCCCAUAAUGCUACAGUCCCAUCCCAACCAUGAGCAGACAGAUACUCAAUAGCUAUACCCUGGAACUUCCCCAGAAGAGUUUGCAAGAGCAGUAGAUCCCAGCUGUGGACCAUGGGAGUAUCCCCAGAGAUACUGCAGAGGAUCAGCAAAUUCCUAUGUGAGCCAAACCUUAUCUGCAGGCUAAAUAAAUAACACAUCUCACACCUACAGGUAAUGACAACAUAAAUUAUGUAGAUGUUGUAGGAAAUAUUACUUCAUUUAAAACUAUCACUGAGUAUUGGACUUUGUGAUCAUGUAUAUUUUCUCAAUGUAAUAAUUAAUGCAUAGAUAUGUCACAUGUCUACAGAUUUAUUUUUAUUUUUAUUUUGAGAUGGAGUUUCGCUCUUUUUGCCCAGGCUGGAGUACAAUAGUGCAAUCUCGGCUCACUGCAACCUCCGCCUCCCAGGUUCAAGCGAUUCUCCUGCCCCAGCCUCCCAAGUAACUGGGAUUACAGGCGUGCACCACCACACCCAGCUAAUUUUGUAUUUUUAAUAGAGACGGGGUUUCACCAUGUUGUCAGGCUGGUCACAAACUCCUGUCCUCAAGUGAUCCACCUGCCUUGGCCUCCCAAAGUGCUGGGAUUAUAGGCAUGAGCCACUGCACCUGGCCAGAUUUUUUUUUAAUGUUAAAAAGAGGUCCUCACACAUGAAAUGAUGGAGAAGUACUGCUCCAGCAUAUUCAGUUUAAUAAGGAUCCUGUCCUCCUGGACCCCAUCUAAGGAAAUGUCAUGCCUGGGUGAUAAAAGGGACUUCCAGAUGGCUUCACCUAUGGGAGAUGCAUCUAUCUCUUCCUGGUGAAACGUUUUUCAUUUAAAGACUAAAUAAUAGUUGUGCAGGAAAGAGGAGCAGAGAAUACUUGAGAAAAGAGGCCUUUGAGAGCCAAGAAAGCCCCAGUCCCCAUGGCUUGAAUUACCAGUACCCCCUCCCUUCUGCCCCAGGAAGUGAAACUGAGAUGCUCAUCCCAAAGCAAAAGUGUCAGCAGAAGGAGCUUGUGCCAUGGAUGAGGAGCAAAACUUACUGACAGCUUUAUGGAGUUUUCCUAAAAACCAGAAAGAGAGAGAAGAGUGAGUGAUCAGAUCCUGCCUCUUUUUCCUCAGAGCUGUGGCAGCCUCAUCACUCCAACCCACAAGAUUAAAAUGAUGGUGACGCUUCUAUGUCCCUAGUCCAGCUCCGUGUCCCAGAGUUCAGACCCAGAAAUCUGAUGGUGCUGGUGACACUGUCCCAGUGACCCAGCCUGCCCGGGACUUUGGUUCCUCCUUCCCCUUCCCCUCCUUUUCAUCUGUCUGGUUUCAUUUCUGCUGUCGGCAUGAGUGUUUCUAUAUGUUUGUAACUGCGGUACAUGAGUGUAUGCACUGCUGUCCUUUUAUAGCCCACCGUUUAUGGUAUCUAAGGUGUAAAACUAGCUAAAGGCCUAGCAUGAACUUGUUAAUAUGGCUGUAUUAUUCUCUACAGUAACUCCCCUGAGGUUAUAAAUUUCACAAAUUGGAGGUCCCAGAAGAUUUGGGGACAUGUGUAUGAGACAUGUGUUUCUGGGGAGUACUUGCAGCUUCUCUGGAGGGCCAUGUGGCCCACAUUUCCCCCUACCCAGCAUUGGCCCUGCUAGACAAUUGAAGUUACACAUCCUGAGUCCACCACCAGUCCCUGUGCUAAGGGCCGGGCAUGUGUUAGGCAUUAGGCAUUGGAGCAAUGCAGCCGAAUACGACACGGCUCCUAAGGAGCUUAUGGUUUAUUGUUACCAUCUCCACUACUAACAGCUUCCAUUUACUGUCUGCUGUGCUUAUACUGAAGUAGGCACUGAAUCCUCUCAAUAAUGUGAGAUGCCUAGAAUUAUUAUUGCCAUUUUAUAGGGGGGUGGUCUGAGGCUCAAAGGGACACAAAAUUUGCCCAAGGUCUUCCAGCUAGUAAGUGACCAAGGAGGCAGGAUUCAAUCUAAGUCUGUCUGACUCCUGAGUUAGAGGCCCUCUCCCUUACCCCACACUGUUCCCUCUUCACUUGAGCAGAACAGCCAGUGUCUGCCAGAUACACGCCACGCUUGCACCAGCUUGGAGGAAAUGUAAGGAGGGAAGAGAGGAGACGCUGACAUCAUUGAAUCUGGAGUCAUCUGAGCCAGUGACUUGUCUUCCCAGAUAGACUUCAACAAGGUGUCCAACUCAGUGGCCCACAGUAAAUGUCAAAUUAAUGAAGACAAAAUGGCAAUAAGGAAAAGGAGUUCCAGGCACUGUGACAGAUUUUUUUUUAAGGUUGCCUGUUUUAACACUGAAAACAAUCAGGUAAGGGGAAGUUAUCUGCAUUUUGCUGAUGAGGAAACCAAAACCUAAGUGGCAGACCAAUGAUCUGAGGUGUCACUGACCCCAGAGCCUGCGACCCUUCCUUUGUAUCAUACCACCUCUCUCUAUGCAAAGGUUGUGUGGAUUCUUGAAAUUCCCAUAUAUCCCAUAUGACCACAUUAAUAUACUUUUCAAUAAUAUGUAGACUUCUUUUUAAAAUGGUUGGCGGAAAGGCUAAUGAAGGGAGUUUAUGGUAAUCUAGGCCUGUGAAUUUUGACCUGGGCACCUCCUUACCCACUGCCACAAGCUCCACAGCCCCUUAACAUUGCACACUAAAUUCCAGUAAUAUCAAUGGAGGAUAUAUGUGUGCAUGUGUGUACAGUAUUAUAAAAAUAGACUUAUAAUAAUGACUGUCAACAUUUACAUAGAAAAAUAAAGAAUGUGUUUUUUGUUCCCUACCCCUUACUCUUUUAUAUCAUUACCUUUUUCUUUAGCAUGGUCUGAAAGAAGAUUGUCUAGAGGAAGAAAGGAAAAGAUAAUGAGAUUUUUUGCCACUGCCUUGAGGAUCCCUGAUUCCUAUUGAUUUUACCUGCCCUUGGACCUGUCCACCUCUAUCUUCACCUCCACCUCCCUGAUCCGGUCUCUAAUCAACUCUCACCUGGACAACAGAAAUGGCAGCCCAAAUUGUCUCCCACAUCCUGUCUUAAUCCCUCUGGUCUCUACUAAACUCUGCAGCCUGAGAGAAUUGUUUAGUUUUUUUUUUUUUUUUAAAUCUGCCACCCUGGCUGGAUUGCAGUGGCAUGAUCUUGACUCACUGCAGAUUUUUUUUAAAAAUCUGCCACCCUGGCUGGAUUGCAGUGGCACGAUCUUGACUCACUGCAACCUCUGUCUCCGGGGUUCAAGCAAUUCUCCUGUCUGUCUCCUGAGUAGCUGGGAUUACAGGCACGCACCACCAUGCUCCACUAAUUUUUGUAUUUUUAGUAGAGACAGGGUUUCGCCAUGUUAAUCAGGCUGGGCUUGAACUCCCGACCUCAGGUGAUCCACCCUCUUCAGCCUCCCAAAGUGCUAGGAUUACAGGCGUGAGCCACCAUGCCCGGCCAAGUUUUUCAAAGCACAAUUACAUCUGAUAUCCCCAUUCCUUGCUUUACCACUGCUCUUACGAGAAUGACUAAAAUCCUGAAUGUGACCCACCAGGCCUCAGGAGGCUCAGCUCCGCCUCACUCCCCAGCCUCACCCCUGCCACUUUUCCCCUCACUCCUGCACCUCCUCAACUCCCCAGUGAGUGCUGCUUUCCCCGACCAUGCUUCUCUCUGAAGCUGUUCUUUCUGCGGUGGCUGGUUUUCCAUUCCCUCUUCACUCAUGACUUCUAGUCCUUCAGGACAAACUUCAUACCCUCAACCCUCAAGCUUGGUUGGUUCAUUCUGGUCAUAGCCUUCACAGAACCAGGAGCUUUCUUGUGUAGCUUUUGUACACAUUUAUUUGUGUUAACUAUUUAAUUCAUCUCAUUUCCCUGACUACACUGAAAGUUCCAGGAGGGCAAAAACUGUGUCUGCUUUUACUCACUAUUGCAUCCCCAGAAUCUAGUAUUGUCCAGGGCAUUUUGUAGAUAAUUAUCAAGUAUUUGUUGAACAAAUAAAAGCUUCCCCCAUGUUCAAGCUACUCGACUCCCAUAGAAUAAGAUCAAGCAAUGAGCUCACAGGCAAAAAUCAUUAAACAUACAGGAAGGCAAAGCUAUUACAAGUAAGAGGCAGUAAAAACUGGAAGCAACGGAUUUAGACAUUGCCACCAUCACCAAGGAUAGCAGAUAAUGGAAUUUUCAGGAACAGAAUCCAGGUUAGUGGGUAUGGGGGGCACAGAAAUUAACAACAAAAGAAACAUCUCCCCUGCCCCCCAGCCAAGAACACUUACCCACCUCCGUCACAUGUUCAUAGAGAAGCUUUUCUAAAAGGGAGAGAGAAAUGCCAGCUCAGCUUAGGAAGGGCUUUUUCUAACAGGCACAAGUGUCCCAAGAUGCCCCCAGCUGCCUGAGUAGGACUGACUCCUUGUCACUACAGGUAAGCGGGCAUUUGAAAGGAUUAGAGAGUCUUCAAACCAUCAGAUAAGGGCAGGAGUGUUGGAUUACAUGACUGUGACUUUCAAAGUCCCUUGCAGCCCUGAGAUCCUGUGAAAUGUGACCAUUUUUUAUGAGAGUCUUAUCCAAUGGAUAUAAUUGGAUUUCUUUAUUAAAGGGCUGUAAUUCAUUUCUUAGUUAAUUAGAAGGCUGGCAUAGUCGGUUAUUUUCUUAUUUUUCAAAGGAUGAGAAUUUACAGCUCUGCCCAGGGGCCUUUCUGCAGUUUAUUGAACUCCCUUUGCAAUGUGUGUCCCCAGGGCAUGGCUCUACCAGUUUUCUCCCAGCCAACUUGCAGUGUCCCCAACCUAUGGAGAAGUGUCAGGUCUACAUCUACUUCCGUCUGGCCCUUUCCCAGAGCAGUCAUAGUCCCACUUCCCACCAGCCUGAGCUCCCUUACCAUUUAAUUACCUUUUGCUCUUCUUUGCUUCCAGAUAAGGCAAAGGCACACCAUGAUGAGAAGUACCAGGACAGGCAGGAUCACAGCCAGAGCCACUGCUGAGGGGGAGAGACUCCCCACAGAUGGGGCUGAAACAGAAACCACCAACGACUGACCUCAGGGAGAUGUCUAAGAGCUUCUGGCAUGCCUCAGAUGGCAGGCGGCUCCAGCACAUCCCAACACUCUCCAUCACCUCUAGGGAGAGAGCUCCGGCCAAGAGGCUCUUUGCUUCUCUGAUAACUCAAGCCCUGGAUAGCAUUAAAGAUAACUGAGGCUGGGAACGGUGGCUCACGCCUGUAAUACCAGCACUUUGGGAGGCAGAGGCAGGAGGAUCAUCUGAGAUCAGGAGUUCAAGACCAGCUGGCCAAUGUGGGGAAACUCCGUGUCUACUAAAAAUACAAAAAUUAGCCAGGUGUGGUGGCGGGCACCUGUAAUCCCAGCUCUUCAGGAGGCUGAGGCAGGAGAAUCCCUUGAACCCGGGAGGCAGAGGUUGCAGUGAGCCAAGGUCACACCAUUGUACUCCAGCCUGGGUGACAAGAGUGAAACUCCAUCUCAAAAACAAACAAACAAACAAACAAACAAAAACUGAGAUGUUCCUCUCUCGGGAAUGGUUUGGAUGGUCCUGCCUCAAGAUGAUGACUUAAACAAACUUCUUGACCACAAUCUCAUCCUGCCCUAUAAUUCAAUGGAAAAAUAAGCCCGGGACUUCAGAGGACUGAAGGCACUCUCCUCACUACACACCUCCAGUCUUCCCAGGAGCACCUGCCUGUUUACCCCUGUCAAUCCUCACUCUGCUCUAGAAGAGCAGGCAGCAACCUCUUUGCCCUGAGCACUGUCCACGGGGGCAAAGCAAUUUCUAUGAUGCCGCAGCAGUAGGCCUGAAGCCUAGGCAGGAGAGAAAGGGGAAAAGAAAGAGGAAAUAGAGGAGAGGAAACGAGCAGAAGCGGGCUAUGGGUAGAAGUAGUUAAGAGCCUAAGCUGGGAGUAUGUCCUUGCUCAAUGCUGUGUGACCCAAAGCAGGAGACUGAGCACCUCCCAGCCCAUUGUCCCUCAUCUGUAAAAUGUGUGCAUGACAGGACUCCUUAUCUCUUUGAGGUUUGGAGAGAUUUAAAGAGGUCAGUCAUAUAAAGCAUUCAGUCUCCUAAGUAGCCGGGAUUACAGGCACAUGCCACCAUGCCUGGCUAGUUUUUGUAUUUUUUUGGUAGAGACAAGGUUUUGCCAUGUUGGCCAGGCUGGUCUCCAGUUCGUUUCAAGGAUCAUUAAAAGGUUCAGGCCAGGUGUGGUGACUCACACCUGUAAUCCUAGCACUUUGGGAGGCUGAAGCAGGAGUAUCACUACAGCUCAGGAGUUUCAGACCAGCCUGGGCAGCAUGGUGAGAGCUCAUCUUUAUUAUAAAUAAAAAAGAAAAAAUAAGUAAAAGGUUUGAACCCUUGGACCCAUUAAUUCUACUGCCAGAAGUACAUUAUUAAAAAAAAAAUCAAAAUCACUUUCCAAAAUACGUUCAAAGAUGUUCAUUGCACCCUUCAUUAUAAUAUGAGGAAAAUUUGGAAAGCAUCCAGAUGCCCAGAAACAGGGCUUUGAUUAAUUUUAUUAUUCUAUAGCCACAUGGCAAAAUACUAUGCAGCCCUUAAAAUCAUAUUACUUAGGGACAUGGGCAAAGAAAACAAAUGCUCAUGAUAUCAUAAGUGGAAAAAUAUCCUGGGCACAAGAAUACACAUGUGUAAACAUACAUGCUCAGAGAUACAUAUAUACAAAAAAGUCUUGCAAGAAAGAUACAAAAAUGUUAGCAGCAGUUCUCUCUAAUUUAAGCUAUUAUAGGCCAUUUUUCAGUUUCCUUUAAAUAUUUUGGAUUUUUUUCAAAUUUUCUACAAUAUAUAUGCUUUAUUCUUAGAAUUUAAAAAAAUUGAAAAUUCCUCAAAAAGUUCCUGCUAGGGUAGGAAUUUCCUCAGGAACCACCAGCGCCUUCAAACCUGUUUCCACCCCAGCUUUUACUUGUUAUGACCACAGCUGUGGUCUUCUCUUGGCCAAGGGCCAUGUUGUGGAUGGUUCAGGACACAUUCCCCAGUGUGCUGUCCCUGACUCUGCUAGACACUGCUAUUUGGAAGAGCCCAGCUUUUUCCAGAGAGUGGGCCUCUGACAGGGAUGGAAGUACCCUGCCUUGAGGUUCUCUCCACUUGGCCCAGGGCUCUGGGAACCAUCCCACCUAUCUGCACACCAGCAGGGCCUCUGCCAGGGUAUGGUCCUGGCCAUGGCCCUCUUCCCCCAUAGCCUCCUGUGAUGAACAGGGGCAGCUGUUAAUGGAACUUGUCCUCUCUCCACUCUCUCCCCACGCUCCUCCUAAUGGGAUAAGCCAGUCUCUAGCUUUAUUCUCAGACAUUUAAAAAUUCACCCAUAGCAAUAACUGUAUCACAUGAUUCAGAUUCCUGUGGGCACCUCGGUCCCCUUUUAAAAAUUACUUUUCAGCUGGGCAUGGUGGCUCAUGCCUGUAAUUCCAGCACUUUGGGAGGCUGAGGUGGGAGGAUCACCUGAGGUCGGGAGAUUGAGAUCAGCCUGACCAACAUGAAGAAACCCCGUCUCUACUAAAAAUACAAAAAUUAGCCGGGCGUGGUGGCACAUGCCUGUAAUCCAGCUACUCGGGAGGCUGAGGCAGGAGAAUCACUUGAACCUGGGAGGCGGAGGUUGUGGUGAGCCCAGAUAGCAUCAUUGCACUCCAGCCUGGGCAACAAGAGUGAAACUCCAUCUCCAAAAAAAAGAAAAAAGAAAAAAAAAUUAGUUGGCCAUGGUGGCGGGCACCAGUAAUCCCAGCUAACUCAGGAGGCUGAGGCAGGAGAAUCACCUGAACCCAGGAGGCGAAGUUGCAGUGAGCCAAGAUUGCACCAAUGCACUCCAGCCUGGGCAACAAGAGCAACACUCCAUCUCAAAAAAAAAAAAAAAAAAAAAAAAAAAAAUUAAUUUUCACCCCAAAGGACUCCAAUUUGGAAAGUCUGUCUACCAACUACUGAGUGUUUUAAAGUAAUUGAUUCAUCCCCACUUCAUGGUGUGUGACUUCAAAUUAUGACCAAAAGAUAAUCAGCAUGUGACCAUGUGAAGCCAGUGUCAUUCAAGCAAAUGCAAAGACAUGGUUUGGGUUGGGUUGAGUUGGGUUUGGUUUGGUAGACUGAUUUUUUAAAAUAUUAGUAGACUGAUUUUUGUGGACUGAUUUUCAGUAAACUGUUUUUUUUAAAUAUUGAAGCUAGUUUGAGAACACUCUCAACUGGGUGCAGUGGCUCACACCUGUAAUGCCAAUACUUUGGGAGGCCAAGCGGGGAGGAUUGCUGGAUUGGAAACCAGUCUAGGAAACAUAGGGAGACCCUGUCUCUACUAAAAGUAAAAAAAAAAAUUAACCAGACAUGGUAGUGUAUGUGUAGUCCCAGCUACUUGGGAGGCUGAGGUGGCAGGAUUACUUGAGCCCAGGUGGUCAAGGCUACAGUGAGCUAUGAUUGCACUACUGCACUCCAGCCUGGGCAACAGAGCAAGGCCCUAUCUCAAAACAAAAAAAAAAAAAAAAAAAAAGAGAAAAAAAAAAAAAAAAACACUAUCUCUCCCUUCCUAACCCUUUACUUUCUCAGGAACCCCAGGAGAGGACCCAUUAAGUAAAUCCUGUCACAGCAGGGGAUCUGUCCCUUGAAGACAUUUCUUUACAGCCAUGUAAUGAGUUCCUUGAUAAUGGAGCAUAGAAAGAUGACCCAGGGAGGAAAAGCUAUUAUCUGAGCCUCCAAGCCCUAUUUAACCAGGACCUGCAUUGUACAGUGUUUUCCAAAGUCUGAGUUCCUUCCUUAUCAGAAAUGCCUAGGCCAGCUUCACAGCCUCAGCUGAGAUCAAUGGACAUGGCUGGGUAAGGCUGAGCCAUCCUGGCAAGUAAAAACUACACUGCAGAUGAAAGAAAAGUCUAGACAUGGAGAGACAAAGUAGGUCCUGAUUAAGCUUGUCCAAUUGCCACAAAUGACCCUGGGCACCUCAAACCCAUUCUAACCUGCAACCUGCAGGAUCACGGUGUCCUCUUUACUCAGAUUUCCAACUUGGAUCAGACAUCGGUAAGACCCUUGGUCCUCAAGGCGCACGUCA
rnacentral:lncRNA from 10 species